UACGUAGGUGGCAAGCGUUGUCCGGAUUUACUGGGCGUAAAGAGCGCGCAGGCGGUCGACCAAGUCGCGUGUGAAAGCCCCCGGCUCAACUGGGGAGGGUCACGCGAUACUGAUCGACUCGAAGGCAGGAGAGGGUAGUGGAAUUCCCGGUGUAGUGGUGAAAUGCGUAGAUAUCGGGAAGAACACCAGUGGCGAAGGCGACUACCUGGCCUGUUCUUGACGCUGAGGCGCGAAAGCUAGGGGAGCAAACGGG
rnacentral:rRNA from 1 species